rnacentral:tRNA from 1 species
UCGAUGGGGGCAAGGGAAGGGAUAUAACUCAGCGGUAGAGUGUCACCUUGACGUGGUGGAAGUCAUCAGUUC